GAUGAACGCUGGCGGCGUGCCUAAUACAUGCAAGUCGAGCGAACAGACGAGGAGCUUGCUCCUCUGACGUUAGCGGCGGACGGGUGAGUAACACGUGGAUAACCUACCUAUAAGACUGGGAUAACUUCGGGAAACCGGAGCUAAUACCGGAUAAUAUAUUGAACCGCAUGGUUCAAUAGUGAAAGACGGUUUUGCUGUCACUUAUAGAUGGAUCCGCGCCGCAUUAGCUAGUUGGUAAGGUAACGGCUUACCAAGGCAACGAUGCGUAGCCGACCUGGGAGGGGGAGCGGCCACCAUUGGAACGGAACCAGGCCCCAGCCUCCGGCGGAGGGCAGCGGUAGGAAUUCUUCAGAAAGGGCCAAAGGUUUGAAGACGCACCCCGGGGGGAGUGAUAAGGUUUUUCGAAUCUAAAACUUUUUUUAUGGGGAAAAAAAAAUUGGAAAAGAAACUUUACCCUUCUUGAGGUACCUUAAUAAAAAGACCAGGGCAACCCACGGC
rnacentral:rRNA from 1 species